rnacentral:lncRNA from 1 species
UAUAAUUGAGUGCGCUUUCCACAUGAGAAUUAGAGAUCUAGCAUCAUUGCUGGUGAAUUAGGUUGCACUGGUCAUGAAUUUACUCUCUAUUUUGUGCUAACUUAAAUUUUUCAUUUUUGUUUUUCAUGCUUCUAUACAUUAUAUGUUUAGCAUAUUCUUCAUACCCAGCCACUCUUGCUUUUCUUGCCUCUUUUUGGCUUUGUUUUGUUGUGGGUUUGUUUGUUUCUUCCAUUGUGCUACUCUGGCUUAAGCUUUUUCAGGGCUUGGUGUUCCGAAUACACAGUGAGCUCACAGUUUAAAGACAUCAAUUAGGAGUUGACAGGUAUGGAAAACUAGAGGUGUGUAAAGGUAAAUUAGGUUUUAGGUUAAUAUAUGGUUUUAAAAUAUUCUGUAGUGUUUAUUUGGCCAUAGUGAGGUACAAGGGACUUGUGAAACACAGUAGAAAGCAUGUUAAUCAUGCAUACUUCUGUAUGCAUUACUUAAUGUCUGCAGAAGUCAUUUCUGUGGCCCGAUACACUAGUCCUACAGAGAGAAAUGUGAAUGGACUCAGAUUCUAAAGCAUACACAUUGUAGAUUUGAAUAUGUAAAGGAAUAUUUCUGAAGCACAGCAUGGUUACCCAGAUUAGUUAGCCAGGGUCAUAAAGCAAAGUUAGAGGCAGGAUAGAGGAAUAGUUGGACAAUCUGAUAGUCUUCUGUUAGUUAUCUCUUCCCUUUCGUCUAUCCCUGUCUACUUACUGCUUCCUCCUUUCCUGUCCUUUCUAAGGUUUUCACUCUGAAAGCCAGUCCUUGUAUUUUACAUUUGGGGCAGUAAUCUAUAAUAGAGGAUUUCAGAGACAUUAGCUAGCACCUUUUUAUCUACUAUCUUAUGUUCUACACAAAGAGUGUAAGCGUUUAGAAACCACUAGUUCAUAAGACACCCUAGCCCUUGGUGCUUUCUACACCUAAAUAGAGGCGUGUAAUA